UGUAUCGGAAGCCUGACGAGGAUGAGAACCUCCGGGGGCAAGAGGUUCGACCCGAGCGAAGCGAGAGAACGUUGCGUCAGCAACGGCCCGCAGGGCGAAUCAUCCUCUAUCACCGGCAG
rnacentral:sRNA from 3 species